rnacentral:rRNA from 1 species
ACUCCUACGGGAGGCAGCAGUGAGGAAUAUUGGUCAAUGGGCGCGAGCCUGAACCAGCCAAGUAGCGUGAAGGAUGACUGCCCUAUGGGUUGUAAACUUCUUUUAUAUGGGAAUAAAGUUUUCCACGUGUGGAAUUUUGUAUGUACCAUAUGAAUAAGGAUCGGCUAA